rnacentral:rRNA from 1 species
UUAUUUGGNNUAAGCGAGANCAGGCGGUUUUUUAAGUCUGAUGUGAAAGCCUGGAGCUCAACUGAAGAAGUGCAUNNGAAACUGGCAUACUGAGUGCAGNAGAGGACAGUGGAACUCCAUGUGUAGCGGUGAAAUGUNGUAGAUAUAUGGGAGNACACCAGUGGCGAAGGCGGCUNUCUGGUCUGUACUGACGCUGAGGCUCGAAAGUAUGGGUAGCAAACCAGGAUUAGAUACCCUGGUAGUCCAUCCCGUAACGAUGAAUACUAAGUGUUGGAGGGUUUUCGCCCUUCAGUGGCUGCAGCUAACGCAUUAAGCAUUCCGCCUGGGGAGUUCGCCCGCAAGGUUAAAACUCAAAGNAAUGGNGGGGGGCUCCCCCAGCGGGUGGACCAUGGGUUUUAUUUGGAACAUCCNGGAAGACCCUUCCCAGGUUUUGNCNNUCUAUGCAAAUGUAAGAGAUUCCUCUUUUCCUUUGGGGGCAUGGANNCAGGUGGUGCAUGGUUGUUGUCAGCUCGUGUCGUGAGAUGUUGGGUUAAGUCCCGCAACGAGCGCCACCCCUAUCAUCAGUUUCCCGCCUUUAGUUGGGCACUNCUAAGAGACCGCCGGUGACAAACCGGGAGGAAGGGGGGAAGGNGUUCAAUNCUCCAUCCCCCUAUCGCNNGGGCNNCCCCCNNGGCNCCAAGGNCGGUACCAGNGNNNAGCAACUCGGGAGAGUAAGCNAAUUUNNCAAA